rnacentral:lncRNA from 1 species
UAUACAACACUUAAGGAAGUUUGCUGCUCAGUUUCAAAAUAAAUAACUUUCCAUAAAACUAGUAUAUAUUGAUAGGGGAUUAAUUGAGGAAUCAAAAAAGCAAAAAAAAUAUAGGGGUCAAUGUGCUUGUUUUCGAGAUAUUAGCCCUUGGAAUUUUGGCGGGAAAAUGUUCUCUCUUGAUUUUUCAUUGCUUUAUCAUUGAACAGUUAAAGUUCUCAAAAACUAUGAAAAAAUAAAUAAGAUUUUAUAAAAAGAAAGAUGGGGGUUCAUUGGCAAAAUUUUUAAAGGCAUUCAAGUGGAUAAAACCAGAGGAUUUCGAAAAUC